AUGCGUGAUCAGGUCGGCGUCGACCUGGAUGGCUUCCCCCUCGACCACGAGUUCCCGGACGACUACGGGCUAGAGGAAGAGGACGAGUGCGACAUCGACGUGGAGCCAUUGUUCGAGGACGAGCUCGCCAACCAAACCGCCGGUCCUAAGCCCAAGCACAAGAGCAAGCGUACGAAGGCGUACACGACGGCCGAGGACAAGCUUCUUUGCGAGUGUUGGCGAGACAUUAGACAAGACCCGAAGACGGGCGCCGAGCAAAAGCAUUCGACCUUUUGGACUCGUGUGCACCGAGAGUUCCAUGAGCGCAAGAAGUUUCCACCUUAUCAAUUUGUGAGCACACGCGGGUGGGUCUCCAUUUUCAAGCGG
rnacentral:rRNA from 1 species